CGAGCGGUGUCCGGAUUUAUUGGGUUUAAAGGGUGCGUAGGCGGUCCUAUAAGUCAGUGGUGAAAUAUCGCAGCUCAACUGUGAGGGUGCCAUUGAUACUGUAGGACUUGAGUGAAUUUGAGGUAGGCGGAAUUGACGGUGUAGCGGUGAAAUGCUUAGAUAUCGUCAAGAACACCGAUAGUGAAGACAGCUUACCAAGCUUCAACUGACGCUGAGGCACGAAAGUGUGGGGAUCAAACAGG
rnacentral:rRNA from 1 species